GUGUAGGUCAGUGGUAGAGCAUGUGCUUCAAAUGUACAAGGCCUUGGGUUCAAUCCCUGACAC
rnacentral:tRNA from 1 species